rnacentral:tRNA from 1 species
UCUUAUGUAGUUUACUUCAUAAAACCUUAAUUUUGUAAAUUAAAGAUAUUAAUUAAAAAUUAUAAGAA